rnacentral:rRNA from 1 species
CAAAAGAGUGGGAAGAGCUUUGAGUAGAGGUGACAAACCUACCGAGCCCAGUUAUAGCUGGUUGCCUGUGAAAUGAAUAGGAGUUCAGCCCUUUAAGUCUUUCCCCCCUCACCUAUGCUUACGCUAAAAUUGAUUAAGGAAACUAAAGGCGUUAAUCAAAAGGGGUACAGCCCUUUUGAUAGAAGAAACAACUUUAUCAGGUGACCCAAGAUCAUAUUACCCAAGGAUUUCAAAUUAAGUGGGCCUAAAAGCAGCCAUCUUACUAGAAAGCGUUAAAGCUCAAAUUAGCCAAUAUCCUCAUAUACUGAUAUUACAUCUCCCUCCCUGCCCCUUACCAGGCUGUCUUAUGCCCCCAUAAGAACAAUUAUGCUAAAAUGAGUAAUAAGAAGAAUUUAAUUCUUCUCCUAGCACAUGUGUAAGUCGGAACGGACCUCCCACCGACUAUUAACCGACCCCAAACCCAGAGGGAAAUAGGCUAAAAAACAAGAAAUACACCUAUUUUGUAUCGUUAACCCCACACAGGAGUGCCUAAAGGAAAGACUAAAAGAGAAGGAAGGAACUCGGCAAACACAAGCCUCGCCUGUUUACCAAAAACAUCGCCUCUUGCCCCCAAAAUAUGAGAGGUCCCGCCUGCCCUGUGACUAUAAGUUUAACGGCCGCGGUAUUUUAACCGUGCGAAGGUAGCGUAAUCACUUGUCUUUUAAAUGAAGACCUGUAUGAAUGGCAUCACGAGGGCUUAGCUGUCUCCCAUCUCCAGUCAAUGAAAUUGACCUCCCCGUGCAGAGGCGGGGAUGAUUACAUAAGACGAGAAGACCCUAUGGAGCUUUAGACCUAAAGUAAGUCACGUUUAAUAUGCUAUGAUAACAGCGAAAACUUAGUGAUAUUUACUGAAGUGUCUUUGGUUGGGGCGACCGCGGGGUAAAACACAACCCCCAUGUGGACCGGGGAUAUUAUCCCUAAUACUCAGAGCCUCUACUCCAAGUAACAGAAAUUCUGACUUUUCUGAUCCGGUAUAACCGAUCAACGAACCGAGUUACCCUAGGGAUAACAGCGCAAUCCCCUCUCAGAGCCCAUAUCGACGAGGGGGUUU